UAAAAACAGUGACUCCUACCUCAAGGCAUCAGCCAGAUUCAAGAUGGAUGAAGCCCUAAACACACAUGGUUUCUAGUAUACCAACUGCCACUGUGAUCAAAUACCCUGAUGACAGCAACGGACCCUUAAUGGGGGAUACAUGGAUGACCUGGGGAAACCAUGAAUAAUGGAUAGACAGCACAUGCCACUUUUAUGAACUACUAAUAGCAGAAGAUGAAACUGCCUGGAGAUGGAGUGUCCUGGUGACAGUGCCUUUAUUCUUCCUUCUUGAAGUCCCCAUGGUCUGGAACAGUCCCAGCAUGGCUCACAUGUACAAAGUGAAGAUUCAUUCCUGAGACA